AUUGAACGCUGGCGGCAGGCUUAACACAUGCAAGUCGAGCGAGCGGCGGACGGGAGAGUAAUGUCUGGGAAACUGCCUGAUGGAGGGGGAUAACUACUGGAAACGGUAGCUAAUACCGCAUAGCAUCAGAUGUGCCCAGAUGGGAUUAGCUAGUGGGUGGGGGAAUGGCUCACCUAGGCGACGAUCCCUAGCUGGUCUGAGAGGUAGACCGGCCACACUGGAACUGAGCCACGGUCCAGACCCCUACGGGAGGCAGCAGUGGGGAAUAUUGCACAAUGGGCGAAGUCCGGAUGCAGCCAUGCCGCGGGUGGGAAGAAGGCCUUCGGGUUGUAAAGCACUUUCAGCGAGGAGGCGUUACUCGCAGAGGAAGCACCGGCUAACUCCGUGCCAGCAGCCGCGGUAAUAC
rnacentral:rRNA from 1 species